rnacentral:rRNA from 1 species
AUUGAACGCUGGCGGUAUGCUUAACACAUGCAUGUCGAACGAUGAGAAAGAGCUUGCUCUUUCGAUUAGUGGCGGACGGGUGCGUAACGCGUAGGAAUCUACCUAUUAGUGGGGGACAACUUAGGGAAACUUAAGCUAAUACCGCAUACGCCCUACGGGGGAAAGAAGGGGAUCGCAAGACCUUUUGUUAAUAGAUGAGCCUGCGUAGGAUUAGCUAGUUGGUGGGGUAAAAGCUCACCAAGGCGACGAUCCUUAACUGGUUUGAGAGAAUGAUAAGGCACACUGGAACUGAGAGACGGUCCAGACUCCUACGGGAGGGAGCAGUGGGGAAUAUUGGACAAUGGGCGAAAGCCUGAUCCAUCAAUACCGCGUGUGUGAAGAAGGCCUUAGGGUUGUAAAGCACUUUCAAUUGGAAGGAAAACCUCGAAGCUAAUACCUUCGAGUUUGACAUUACCUUUAGAAGAAGCACCGGCUAACUCCGUGCCAGCCGCCGCCGUAAAAC